ACGGGGGGGGUAAGCGUUGUUCGGAAUUACUGGGCGUAAAGGGCUCGUAGGCGGCCAACUAAGUCGGACGUGAAAUCCCUCGGCUUAACCGGGGAACUGCCUCUGAUACUGGAUGGCUUGAGAUUGGGAGAGGGAUGCGGAAUUCCAGGUGUAGCGGUGAAAUGCGUAGAUAUCUGGAGGAACACCGGUGGCGAAGGCGGCAUCCUGGACCAACACUGACGCUGAGGAGCGAAAGCUAGGGGAGCGAACGGGA
rnacentral:rRNA from 1 species